UAGCGCGUUAGAUGCAUGCAGUUGGAGCGGAUGNGUUAAGAGCUUGCAGCUUAUGAAGUUAGCGGCGGACGGGAGGAGUAACACGAGGGUAACCUGCCCAUAAGACUGGGAUAACUCCGGGAAACCGGGGCUAAUACCGGAUAACAUUUUGAACCGCAUGGUUCGAAAUUGAAAGGCGGCUUCGGCUGUCACUUAUGGAUGGACCCGCGUCGCAUUAGCUAGUUGGUGAGGUAACGGCUCACCAAGGCAACGAUGCGUAGCCGACCUGAGAGGGUGAUCGGCCACACUGGGACUGAGACACGGCCCAGACUCCUACGGGAGGCAGCAGUAGGGAAUCUUCCGCAAUGGACGAAAGUCUGACGGAGCAACGCCGCGUGAGUGAUGAAGGCUUUCGGGUCGUAAAACUCUGUUGUUAGGGAAGAACAAGUGCUACGUUGAAUAAGCUGGCACCUUGACGGUACCUAACCACAAAGCCACGGCUAACUACGUGCCAGCAGCCGCGGUAAUACGUAGGUGGCAANGCGUUAUCCCGGAAAUUAUUGGGGCGUAAAGCGCGCGCAGGGUGGUUCUCUUAAGUCCUUGAUGAUGAAAAGGCCCACCGGGGUUCAACCGCUGGGGGGGUUCAUUUGGUGAACCUUGGGAAAANCUUUUGAACUGGCCACCCAAGCAGGGAAGAGACGCG
rnacentral:rRNA from 1 species